rnacentral:tmRNA from 1 species
GGGGACGCGUGGUUUCGACAGGAAGAUCACUGCUAGAUUGCGGGCCGUGGCGCCGUGCACCACGUAAAAAGCGGCAAAAACAUAAACGGCGAACGAGAAUUCGCUCUCGCGGCCUAAGGGCUGCGACUUUCGAC